rnacentral:tRNA from 1 species
GCGGUCGUGGCGGAAUGGCAGACGCGCUAGGUUGAGGGCCUAGUGGGAGUUGAUCCCGUGGAAGUUCGAGUCUUCUCGACCGCA